GAUUAAUGACUCUGAAGUGUAACAUGUCCAGAGCUGUGGAGUUCAUUAAUGAUCUUCCAGGAUUCAGCUGUCAGUCAGUUCAGAGUGGAAUCUUCGUCUAUCCACACCUGACUCUUCCUCACUCAGCGCUGACACACUCACAGUCAGUGGGGUUGUUGUACAGCAGGAGGUUGUUGGAAGAUCAGGGUGUGUGUGUUGGGUUCAGUGAAGAUCACACACAUUCACGGAGCUGCUGCCACUUGAGGCUGUGUGUACUGAUGCCAUCAGAAGAACUGGAGGAAGCUCUCAAUCGCCUUCGAUGUUUUCACUUUCAGUUCCUUAAAGAAUACUGUGAUACUGGAGAAACAGUCAGUGAACCACAGCAGAGCAUUUAAAUAAGUUUAAUUAAUGCACCGAUUCAUAUACAGAUGAAACUCUAC